AAAAAUAAAAUAAAAUAAAGAACAAGAGGCAAUAGGCGCCUGCUUUGUUUGAUCUUCCUAAUUUUCUAGGUACAACUUUUUUUUCUCUCUUUUUUUGAGAUGGCAUCUUGCUCUGUUACCCAGGCUGGAGUGCAGUGGCAUAAUCUCGGCUCACUGCAACCUCUGCUUCCCAGGUUCAAGCGAUUCUGCUGCCUCAGCCUCCCAAGUAGCUAGGAUUACAGGUGUGCACCACCACGCCCGGCAAAUUUUUGUUUUUUUUAAUAGAGGCGGGGUUUUGCCAUGUUGGCCAGGCUGGUCUUGAACUCCUGACCUCAAAUGAUCCACCAGCCUCAGCCUCCAAAAGUGCUGGGAUUAAAGGCGUGAGCCACUGUACCUGGCCUUCUAGGUGAAACUUAUAAAGUACUUUUGGACCAGAGAAAAAUGUAAAGCUAGGGAAUUACUGGGUAGGGAAACUGGUGUGAGCAUCCUUCAAAAGAGCUUUCACCUAUUAAGUGCAUGUCCCCAGAUUGCCUUCUUCCUGGUUACUUCAGCUGUCUGAGUAUUUGAAUAAAUUGUAUCUGCCUCAAUAAGACCACUUAUUUUCAUUAAAAAGUACUAUCAAAACCAUGGUUGAGUGCAGUGGUUCAUGCCUGUAAUUCCAACACUUGGGAGGCCGAGGCAGGAGGAACCCUGAGGCCAGGUAUUUGAGGCUGCAGUGAGCCAUGAUUGAGCCACUGCACUUCAGCCUGGGGAACAGAGUGAGACCCUGUCCCUUAAAAAAAAAAUGUAAUAUCAAAACCAUUUGCUUAAUGCCCUAAAUUGUGUAUAUGUAUUCAUUAAGCUUCAAACUUAUGUGAUAAGAUAUUAUGUAUGCAUGUGUGUCUCGGUAAGUAUGAGGAUGGUAGUGGAGUGUCACAGAGGUUAUUUGGCACAUAAAGUGAACUUCAAGUCACUUGUCAUCACAAUGUGCAGUCUCUUCUGCUGCCCUCUGACAUUUGUUAGACAUUCUAGCACAGAGGCCACAGAUGAGGUGGCUGCACCACCUCUUGCGUCUCCCAAGGAGUUGACUGUCAGCACUCAUUUUACACACCCACCUGCAACUUCACUUCCUGGAGGCUUUGUGAGUGUGAAAAUGGCCCUUCCUCCCAGAAAGAUUAGAGGCCCCCAGAGUAUUAUGUUGUAAUUUUGAAUUGUAUAGUAUCAGAAAUAUAACGUUUAUGAAAAUAAACUUGGCCUAUAUACCCUGGACUUAAACAGAUGGUUUCAUGAUGACUUUAGACAUUUUUGGCUUUCCUUUAACUUCCCAUUUAGUUAUUUUUAUGGUCUUGUUUUUAAUGUUUUUUGGUUUUUACUGGUAUCUGCAUUGAAAUUCUGCCUUCAUUAAAGGCAGGAAGAUUAGGAGAUAAAGGGAAAAGGUGUUAAUGAUUAGAAAGGCUGACAUUUAUAAGAGAAGUCUUGACAUAUUUUGAAGGUCUUGCUCUGUCACCCAGGCUGGAUUGCAGUGGUGCAAUCUCUACUCACUGCAACCUCCACCUCACAGGUUCAAGUGAUUCUCAUGCCUCAGCCUUCUGAGCAGCUGGGACUAUAGGUGCCUGCCACCAUGCCUGGCUAAUUUUUGUAUUUCUAGUAGAGACGGGGUUUUGCCAUGUUGGCCAGGCUGGUCUUGAACUCUUGGACUCAAGUGAUGCAUCUGCCUCGGCCUCCCAACAUGUUGGGAUUACAGGCGUGAGCCACCACACCUGGCCUCUUUUUCUUUUCUUAAGAAUCUUUUGCUUUUCCUAAUCCUAAUUGUGUUUGAAAGCUCUUGCAAAUUUGAAGUACAAGUUCAAUAAUGUAAAAUUCAUUACAUUAAAGAAUGAAUAAGAAGAAUGGUAAUUCUUAUUGUAUGUUAGAGCCAUUCAUGAUUAAGCAAAAAGCCAUAAAAGUAGUAGUAUUUAUUGAUUUAGUCAAAGCACCCUUUAAUAGAAAACAUGUGUUUGACUCUUGGCUCCAUAAUUAUACUUUUUAAAAAGUGAAAUUUGAACUUGUUGAACCUACAUGUGAUAAUUUUUAGUAAGCUCUAUUUGGAUUAUUGUUUAAAAUUUUCUUUUCAGAGCAAAGAGAAAUUAUUCCAAGGGCCAUUUUCUUCCUGUGUAACUUAAUUAGAGAGAAGAGGCCACAUGGUGGAGAAUGUGGCUAGCCUUUUAAUACAGUUUUGACUCCCUCCCUCUCUUUGUAACUGCCACAGAGUGUGGGAGAGUUUAAUUUACUUUUCAGUGUUUUAAGUCUUUUUCCUAUUGGAUAGUUGCUCCUUCUAUAAGAAUUGUAAUGAUAAUGUGAUGAUACAGUAAACAAGAACUGGGAACAGAAUAUCUUUUUUUUUAAGUGAAAUUAUAUUGUUGAUGUAAACGGUUGGCUUGACUCCAUUUUAGGUAAUUCAAGUUUCUUUUUCUCUAUUUUUGGGAAUAGGUCAUAGCAAAUGACAGAAGUCCCUUGGUGGGCAAAAUUCACUGGGAGAAAAUGGUUAAAAAGGUGUCAAGAUUUGGAAUACGUACAGGCACAUUUAACUGUUCCAGUGAUCCCAGAUAUUGCAGGAGAAGAGGCUGGGUCCGAUCCACACUCAUUAUGUCUGUUCCACAAACAAGUACUUCAAAAGGGAAAGUCAUGCUUAAAGAAUACAGUGGACGCAAGAUUGAAGUAGAGCACAUUUUUAAAUGGAUAACUGCUCAUGCAGCUUCUCGGAUCAAAACCAUUUAUAAUGCUGAACACUUGAAAGAAGAAUGGAAUAAAAGUGAUCAGUAUUGGUUAAAAAUAUACCUAUUUGCAAACCUUGACCAGCCCCCAGCUUUCUUCUCUGCACUAAGUAUAAAGUUUACUGGAAGAGUUGAGUUUAUUUUUGUUAAUGUAGAAAAUUGGGACAACAAGAGUUAUAUGACAGAUAUUGGCAUAUAUAAUAUGCCAUCAUACAUACUUAGAACUCCUGAAGGAAUUUACAGAUAUGGAAACCACACAGGCGAAUUUAUAUCCCUUCAGGCCAUGGAUUCAUUUUUGCGCUCAUUACAACCCGAGGUAAAUGAUCUGUUUGUUUUGAGCUUGGUUCUAGUUAAUCUUAUGGCUUGGAUGGACUUAUUUAUUACACAAGGAGCUACCAUAAAGCGAUUUGUGGUUCUCAUAAGCACUUUAGGGACAUAUAAUUCUCUAUUAAUUAUUUCCUGGCUACCUGUGUUGGGCUUUUUACAGCUACCUUACUUAGAUAGCUUUUAUGAAUAUAGCUUAAAAUUGUUGAGAUAUUCCAAUACAACCACACUGGCUUCAUGGGUAAGGGCAGACUGGAUGUUUUACUCUUCACACCCAGCCCUGUUUCUCAGUACAUACCUUGGUCAUGGUUUACUAAUUGAUUACUUUGAGAAGAAGAGAAGGCGCAGCAACAACAAUGAUGAAGUCAAUGCCAAUAACUUAGAAUGGUUAUCAAGUCUGUGGGACUGGUACACCAGCUACCUCUUCCACCCGAUUGCUUCUUUUCAGAACUUUCCUGUAGAAUCUGAUUGGGACGAAGACCCUGACUUAUUCUUGGAGCGCUUAGCUUUCCCUGACCUUUGGCUUCACCCUCUGAUACCAACUGAUUAUAUUAAAAACUUACCAAUGUGGCGAUUUAAAUGUCUUGGAGUCCAGUCUGAAGAGGAAAUGUCGGAGGGGUCUCAAGAUACUGAAAAUGACUCCGAAAGUGAGAACACAGACACUUUGAGUAGUGAGAAGGAAGUAUUUGAAGAUAAGCAAAGCGUACUUCACAAUUCUCCAGGAACAGCGAGUCACUGUGAUGCUGAGGCUUGUUCAUGUGCCAAUAAAUAUAGUCAGACCAGCCCAUAUGAAAGGAAGGGGAGAUCAUAUGGAUCAUAUAACACUAAUGAAGAUAUGGAACCUGAUUGGUUGACUUGGCCUGCUGAUAUGCUGCGCUGUACUGAAUGUGUUGUUUGCCUAGAGAAUUUUGAAAAUGGAUGUUUGCUAAUGGGGUUGCCUUGUGGUCAUGUGUUUCAUCAGAAUUGCAUUGUGAUGUGGUUGACUGGGGGCCGACAUUGUUGCCCUGUUUGCCGGUGGCCUUCUUAUAAAAAAAAGCAGCCAUAUGCACAACACCAGCCCUUGUCAAAUGAUGUCCCAUCUUAACCAUGUGCAAUUUGUCCUUUAUAAGCUUUGAGUAUCUUACAGCUUGCCUUUUUAAUGUUAGUCACAAUGUUUUUGUGGUUUGAAGUUUAGUUUAAUGUUAGUGCAGUGACGGGAAAUAUACAUUAUGCUAAUGUUGAUGACAGAAUUUAUUUGGUUGCCUUGUGUGUUAAUUGAAUGCAUACCUAAUUGUAAAAUUUUUUUAUUUACAACAUUGGAAAUUCAGAAGUUAAUGUUUUUUUGUAAGCACAAAAGAAGUAUGAUAGAAAUUUAUCCUAGCAAGACUUUACAAGAUAGGAUCAAAUUCUAAUGGAAUUGAGCCGGUUUCUUAUCCUAAAUGUUUCCUCCCUUUUUACAAUCUCUGUCCAGCACCUCUUGGUUAAAUAAUGUAUGCUGUGAGACAUGAAAUUAAAACAGACCUAUGAAAUAAAUUAUUUUAAAACCAG
rnacentral:sRNA from 1 species